GAGAGUUGGUGAAUGAAAAUAUAUCCUUGAAUUUAUAAGCGAGACAGUGAACCAGAGGAAGAAGAAAACGAGAGUUGGUGAAUGAAAAUAUAUUCUUGAAUUUAUAAGGGAAACAAUGAUAGGGCUACUCUCUAUUGGCAUGCAUUUGUAUGUUUCAGCUGACACGCCAAAGGAGAGCUGCCCUGUUACUGUCUCUCCUUAAUCAACAUGUCCUUCGGGCACUAUUAAUAUAUACAGUGUGAUGUCUUCAAGGUAUUUUUCUACUUUUCGCAGUGAGUCGUUCUGUUCUCAUGUUAUUCUAAAUAUUAAGUCUUGUUUACUUAAUUGUGAACUCACCAAUUGAUAAUUUGAAUGCGAGUGUGAGAUGUAUUCAAUUGUACAUUUUAAUUUAAAGAGCAGUUAUAGAGAUAUGAAUGAUAUAACAUUCUAGUUUUUGUAUUUAAUUCUCAAAUUAUUUUUGUUAACUGAAGAUUUAUACAUAGUUCUGAAUCUUCUGAUGAAUUAGAAUUCAACUCGAAUGUAAAUCUCAAACAAGCUGCUUGGAUGGUUCAAAAGAUUUCCAAAGCUAGGAAAUUAACACAUUGGAAAUUCAGGUUACAGGAUAAUUGAGGUUCAGCAGAUUACACAAUUUUCUAUUAGGAAAAUGUAUCUAAAGGUAAUUGAAAAUUUUCCGAACUUUGAAAUAUACAGUUCAAACUCAGGGAAUUAUUUUGGAGUUUGAAUUAGUUAAGUAUAUAAUUGAAAUAAUCAUGACAUUGGGCAGCUCAACAUUGAUUCGGAAAAGGCCAACUGGUUCAGCUGCAACUCAAAGACCAUUUUACAGUUGUAACAUUAGACUUGUAGUUUUAUUCUUAGCCAUUUUAUGUGUAACUACAAAUGCUUGAUUCAUUUACGAAAUAAAGUUUGAUACAUCAAUCAUCCUCAAUUCCACGAAUAUUUUGUUUAUAUAAUCUUCUUUUUCUCUCUCGUUAAGCCGGGGCAUUUCCACCCGGGAAAUUUCCAUCUAAUUUUUGCAAGUCUAAUUCUAACAUGGUAUCAUAGCAGGCAAAUGAACUAUACUUGUUUCUCUCAUUAGAGCAUCAUAUCCUCGAAACUAGAUUGACGAGAGGGAGUUGCUCGGAUGGUAAGCACCCCUCACUUCCAACCCGAAGGUUGCGAGUUUGCGUCACCAAGGGAGCAAAAGGGGUGGCAGCUCCUAGGGAGGGUUAAAAAAAAAAAGCUAGAUUUUGUAUUUUGAUUGAUUUUUAAAAAAAAACAAUAUAUGGAUAGGGUUCAAUUUCUGAUUCCGCAGGGGUUUGCUCUAUUCUAUUUCUGAUUCAAAGGUUUCACAAUGGAUUUACGGCGAUACUUAAGGCGUUCAUGAUGAUGUAUUAUUUUGGGCAUGGUGACUGAUCUUAGCAUUUAUUCGAAGUUGAAGAUUCCCCUAUUACCCAUACUGGAAAAGGUUCAAUGAUAUGAUGAUUGCUUGGAUGACUAUGAACAUUUCUAAUUUUCUACUAGUGUUUUAGGGUAUAUGACACUAAUAGGGAAACUUUGUUGGACAUUAAUGAGAGAUUUUGGAUCAAAUAGGUCUAAGUUCAUUCAAUUUCAAAUGACAUUAGUUUCAUUUCCAAGAGAACUUCAAAAAUUGUCUCAUAUUUCAUUAGACUGUGAAGCAUUUGGGAUGAGAUGAACAUUCAUUAUUUAUUGGUCAUAUGCUCUUGUGGCCCCUUUCCCAAGUUUCUAGGAGAACUGAAGUAGUUUUGGUUCCUAACUUGGUUGAAUAAUUUCUACUCCACAUUUAUGAGCAAUAUACUUAUGAUAUCUCCCCUUGCUCUGUGUUAAAACAUGCCAAGAAAUAGAGAGAGAACUCACACUUUCUUCCUCGUCUGCUCCUUCUGGUGCCGAAGAAGUUUUACUCAAAGAGUCUAAUUUAAGGCAACGAAGCAUGUCCUUUUGUCUCUUGCAAAUAUUGCAAGAAGUCAGGACACACUCUUAAUAAGUUCAUCCAAGAGCAAAAUAUCAGUCUUUUGUGUCCAUAUUGAUAAUUUUACUCCAAUACUCUUAGCUUCCACAUCCCAAUUUGGUGAUCAUUCAGCACAUGAAUUUACUCAGAAGCAAUAAGAAUAUCUCAUGCCUCUUCCUUCCAAAUAAUCAAAUCUCUCCUAGGUUCAAUAAUGAUGUUUCUUUUGGAGAGAUUUAAGACUAUGCUCACUUUGCAGGUUUAAUUAGUAUAUUUUUUGUAGUUAAUUUUGUGUUUUUUCAUGCAUAUUCAUCAUUGCAAUUAGGGGUAGAUACUUGAAUCUUUUACUCAGGGGCCGCUAGUCACAUGACUCCAUUUAUGGUGUUUAUAAGCUAUAUCAGUGUAUAUCACAUUGUAUUUCCAUAAAUCUCAUGUAUACCAUAUAUAUAUCUGUAAAUAUAAUCCACGAUAAUCUGUGAUUAUGUGAAACACCCCACUAAUUUGUGUCAAGACUGACAAUGCUCUGUCAAUCAGUGUUGCAAAAAUCAAAAUAAAAAAUAAAAAAUCAAGGAUUAGUGCAACACCAUCCAGGAACCUUUACUAGAAAAUUAGUACGUACUUCUUUUACAGUUUGGAUCUAUCAUGGAGUAAAAGAAUACAUUGCAGAUUAGGAUUAUUCAAAAUAUGCCUUCUUGCAAUCAACGUUGUGAUCAACAGAUAUAUGGUGGCGGAUACAGUAUGUAAACAGUGGGUUCAACAGCUGUUCCAUCAGAAUAACAUUAAGCAGAGACAGUAACAGGGCAGCUCUCCUUUGGCAUGUCAGCUUAAAUAUAUAAGUGCAUGCCAAUAGAGAGUAGCCCUACCACUGUUUCUCUUAUAAAUUCAAAAAUACAUUUUUAUUCACCAAACUCUUUUUUUUUUCUCAUUUUUCUGCUUCUGUUUCAUCACAACAGAGCCUUCCAAGCUUAUAUAGAUCAUUCUUUCUCAGUUUAAGAAACGGUAUAAACCCAUGGAGAAUCAGCAUAUCCUGCCAUUUUUAUGUCUUCUUGCUUUUUCUAGGGUUAGAAAUAGGGAACUUUCUUAUCCCUUUUACCAUUUCAUUUUGUGGCUUUUCGGUUUCCAAAUACUAGUCUCACUUGAUUAGGUACUUUUUGUGACUACACGAAGUGUGUCACUUGACUCUUUUACAGCAUAUCCUUGGUCAUAUUCCUCAUUUUCCUCUUCUUUUGUCCAUAUCGACAUUUCUAUGUAGGGUCCUUUUUGCCUUUGUGUGGCUUUUCUAUUUCCUUGUGUUAGGCUAGUUAAUUUUUCAGAUCCCAAGUCUUUCAGAAGUUUGGAAACAAAAUUGAUUUAGCAAAAGUGUUGGACGAUAAAAUAAAAGUUGGAUGGUGCUUUUUGAGUUCUCUCAUAUUACUCAAAAGUGUCGUCAUUUGUUCCAGUUUGCAUAUCACGCUAACCCGAAAUAAUUAACUUUUUGUGGAAGUAAAACCUGUUUGCACCUUUCAACACAUAUGGUAUGGUAGUAAUUUAUGAAUUUGCGUGCAAAAAAAACAGUCCUUACGACUUAAGACAUUCAAGUAUAAUGAAGCUGGACAAUUGGCGUCCCAGUCUGGAUCAAUGUUACAUAAGAAUACAUUCAUAUAAUACCAUCCUAGUUUCUUGCACCAGCUAGUCUGUCCCUCAAACGUAUGCCCCAUGUACCUACAUCAUAUCUAUAUUUAUAUCAAUAUCGAUAUCAAUGUAAACUUCUAAAUUGGAAAGUUGAAUCAGCUGAAUAUCAAUUAAUAAUUGAUAAAAGCCACCUAUUUCCAGCAGUUGAUAAACAAAGUCGUCGAGUCAGACACUUCAAGAGCCAAACUAUAAAAGCCACUGUUUGGAAUAAGGGUGUUCAUUGUUUGGAAAAGCAAAUCACUACAGAGAUAUAUUAGUAUAGUAUUCUAAAACAGAGAUCUUAAGUUCAGCUAAUUGGCUACCUGAGCUACAUUGCUGAUGAGGAUUUGAUUCCCACCUUGUAAUAUGUACCGAAUUUCCCUUUCUCUACCCCUAUGUGAUAAAAUAGAUAUAGGAAAAACAAUGGACCAAAAAUUACUCAUAAAUUAAAAAUAUAGUAUUCUAAAAGGACAAAGGCGUUUUCAUCAUGAAUGGCUACCAUAUUACGUUUAUGCAGUAGUUAUGUGAGGCAAUUUGAUUGUUUAGUUUUGUAAGUUUAGAGUCAUCCUGAUCUCGACAAAUAAGUUAUCAUAUGACUAUUCACAUUAAUCAUUCACAAAAACUGUACUUUAUAUUUUCAAAAUAAUUACUUAAUUGAUACAAAGAUGUGUAUAACAUUACUCGAGAUACAAGGGCAUUGCAGGUGUCGAGAAACUACUUCAUAAAAACGAUCAACUUUGGUUUAUAUAUCACUCGGUCUAUUUCAAUUCAUAUGUCUUAGUUUUUUUAAGUCUGUUUCAAAUAGGAAGUUGCUCUAAUUGGACCCUAAACUUGGCUUCAAAUUUUAAUUUUGACCUCCAACUUUCAUAGUGCACAAACAGGCACUUUAACUAUCCAACCUUUUAAUAAAUAAACACGUGAAUCCUACUUGGCAAAACGCGUGAUGUGCACGUAUUCUGCGCGAGUUAGGAGUAAUUUUCGAGUCCCACAACAGUAAAAAAAUGUUGAAAUGACAACUCUACCCCCGGAUUCCGGCCAAUCUCUGGCAACCCAAAACCUCCGUUCAUUUUCUUCUCUUUCAGGCAAAACGCCAACAAAUACCCAGCCAUUCUCCUUCUUCCUCACACCGGAGCACAACCCAUGAAGCGAACGAGCUUCGAGCUCGCUAAACCCACCAAAUACCCGACCCCAAACCCAUCAGAUCCGCCAUCUCCGGCGAGAAUCCAAAUGACCCCCCAAACCCCAUGAAAACAGACCCAACAACCACAAACACCUAAACCAAGAAGCCAGCCAUCAACAAACCUCUAAGCUCCGUCAAACAAUGAGCUCCAAGCUCUAAAAACCAUUAGGAGGAAUUAAUUUUGAUUCUUGUAUAUAAAUUAAAAUUAAUUUUGAUUUUUUUUAGUUCUAAAAUUACGUGUAAAAUAUUUAAUUAGUUGGCAGCCAUUGAGUGGCUCACUAAUACACGUUGGAGCGUUUGCAUUUCACGCUCUUUGGCUGCAAAAAUCGUGUGUUUAUUUAUUUAAAAGAUGGAUAGUUAAAGUGUCUGUUUGUGCACUUUGAAAGUUGGAGGUCAAAGUUAAAAUUUGAAGCCAAGUUUAGGGUCCAAUAUAUGUAUUAUGCCUUUUUUUUUCCCUAAAUGACAGAGGAGUAUUAUGUAGUAAAAUGUGAUAAUAUUUUAUAACUGUCAUUUGGCGUGAGAGACUUUUGGCGCUGGUGGAAGAAACUUAAAUGGUUUUACUAGUUGUUUGUCUCUCAAAAAGAAGUCUUUUUCAAUUUUUACUUGUCUUAUUAUAUAGCAUCCAGAAUUUGACUGUAUUGAUAUAUGCUGCUGCACUUGUUCAGCUUCAACUGUCUUAAAAGUAAACUGGCACAAAUGAUGACACACUUCGAACUUUUAUUAUGAUUUAUGAGAGAACUCAACAAGCACCUUUUUCGAACUUCUAUUAUGUCUAACUGUCAGGCAAAGGAAGCAGUACUCUUCAUUUCCUGGCCUCUAAAAGAGCUGGAAUCCUAAAAAUUCCAUAACAUAAUCAAGAGUGGAAUUAGGGAAAUCGAAAAGCCAUGUGAAUAACAAAUAUCAAAAUUCAAAACCAAAUAGAAAACGUAACAUGGAAAUGUAAAAGAGAAAAGAAGAACAGAAAAAAUAAGGAAUAUGAUGAAAGGAUAUGCUGUAUUUCACUCCUUGACUGCAAAAGGCACACACUUCCAAGGCAUAAAAUCAUGCAGCAUCAACUUUCAGCAACUUUUUCUUGAUGGAAUCUGAUGAAAAUAUUUUUAAAGGAGGUGCUUUUAGGAAAUGAAAUUGUAAAGGAUAAGAAAGUUACCACAUUUUUUAACUCUAGAAAAAGCAAUCCCAUAAAGCAAGAAGAUAUCCGCAAAUCACAACUAGAACCAAAAUCACAUAGGAUAUGCUGAUUCUCUCCAAGGGUUUAUACCGUCUCUUAAACUGAGAAGGAAUGCCUAUAAAAGCAUUGAAGGCUCUGCUGUGGUGAACCAGAGAAAGAAGAAAACGAGAGUUGGUGAAUGAAAAUAUAUUCUUGAAUUUAUAAGGGAAACAGUGAUAGGGCUACUCUCUAUUGGCAUGCAAUUGUAUAUUUCAGCUGACACGCCAAAGGAGAGCUGCCCUGUUACUGUCUCUGCUUAAUCUACAUGCCCUUCGGGCACUCUUAAUACAGUGUGAUGUCUUGAAGCUAUUUUUCUACUUUCUUCAACGUCUACAUUGAUUUUCAAAUCAAAUCACAAAGCAUGAUGAAUGUUAUUACAUUCUAAUUUUCAAAUUAAAUUACAAAGCAUUAGUUAAUUAGUUAUCCAUAGUGAGUCGUUCUGUUCUCGUGUUAUUCCAAAUAUCAAGUCUUGUUUACUUUGUUGUGAACCCACCAAUAGAUUUGAAUGCGACUGUGAGAUGUAUAUAUUCAAAUAAACAUUUUCAUUUAAAGAGCAGUUAUAGCGUUAUGAAUGAUAUAACAUUCUAUUUUUUGUAUUUAAUCCUCAAAUUAUUUUUGUUAACUGAAGAUUUAUACAUAGUUCUGAUGAACUAGAAUGCAACUCGAUUGAAUAUCUCAGACAAGCUGCUUGGAUGGUUCAAAAGAUUUCCAAAGCUAAGAAAUUAACACUUUGGAAAUUCAGGUUACAGGAUGGAUGAGAUUCAGGAUUACACAUUUUCUAUCAGGAAAAUGUAUCAAAAGUUACAAAGUGACUUAUCCAAAGGUACUUCAAAAUCUUCGGAAGUUUCAAAUGUACAUUUCAAACUCAGGGAAGUAUUCUGGAAUUUGAAUUAGUUAAGUUUAUAAUAAUGUCUUCUCCAGAAGACUCUAGCCCUGUUAAUCAUGAUAUUGGG
rnacentral:lncRNA from 1 species